ACAAGUAAUAUCACUUUCUUGUGUCUCUGUGGUGUAGUUGUUUCAUGCCUCCACUUAGGGGACACCACCGUAAAGAAGACUCACCUGUAUAGCCACGUGAUGGACCGUAACCUCUAUCUAACCAAAGAACAUACCCUGUUCCAGCUGCUCGAACAAGGGAAAAUCCUUCUGAACAGUAAAAAUAAGGUGAGGACCCUACACCUUCAGCUUAUUUGGCUUAUAUGGUAACUUUACUUUCAACUCUAAAACUCACUCUGACAUUUAUUGUAAUUAUAAGGUUUAACUCUUACAAUGCGGUUGUUUUGGAGUUUGGGAACAGACUGGAACCUUUGGGGAAUGUUUAUGUGCUGUUUUUUAAUUCUGUGUUUUUGGAAAAAGCUGUAGUGAUGGGCCGGGAGACAAAAACUUUCUUUUAUUCAGAGCUUAUGUGCAAAGAGACACAUUAUGGAGUGGAAGCUCUUGGGCUCUGGUCCCUGGAUAUCUUGUUAAGCUAAUGGAGGAACCGAGGCAGGGGAGAAGGGUAAGGAAGAUUGUGCAAUAGGGUGUUUACUCCUGGUCACAGUUUCUGAUGUGACCAAAGCUGGUUAUUCUGGGACACCCUGUGGCUGCCAGAGAGCUGAGACCCGUCUCAGUCAGAGUGGUCCAUUCUGGCAUGGAAGUCUCCAGAUCUACUUCACCAGUCCCUAAGCCUUGUGUUGACUUUGACUGUCCCUGGCAUAUUUUUCCAGUCUGAAGUAAAACAAGAGUCUUGUUUAAUAUUGUGUAUGUUUAAGAUAACAGACUGUUCUUCAUUUAGAAAGAUGAAAUUCUUUAUUACAAGUUGUUUUAAAAAGAGUAAAAUGAUCUUGUCAGAGGUAUAUUUGAUAUGUUUACACUUAAGCACCCAUCAGUAGAAAUUAAUCUGACCAGUUUCUCCAUGACACUUUUGAUGUCAUACCCUGACCUUUUAGGGUCUCCAUUAAGAGUAGCUGUUUUGGUUUUCUAACAGCGGUGACUGUAUUAUUAUAAUUAAUAUAUAUUAAAUAUACAGUUAAUAUAAUUAAAAUAAUAAUACUCAAGAAAAUUUAGCAGGGUUGGUUGGUUUGCUUAAAAAACCCUACCAUCUUUACAUGGUGCACCCUCUUGCAAAGGUAGCCCCGGAGGUAUGCUCUGCAGUGUUCAGACUGCUCUUGACUGCACUUCAAGGCAUAUAUGCUUAGACUGCCCUAAAUUCUAUAGUUCCUGCUCAGACACCGUUUCAAGUGAUCCUGAGGAUUUCGAUAAUUUACUGUGGGUAAGUCAUGCAGCAGAGAAAGGUUAAUGAUUCUAGAAAUCACUUCUCUUACAGAUCUUUAUUAAAUUCCAAAGCCACUAUGCUUUGAGACCUGCUGCAAUUCAUAUGGGUUUUGCAAUUAAUGUUUAGUGAAGAUGACAAUGCCUAAGCAAGCUAAUUUUUUAAAGGAAAUAUAAGCCAUUCCUCAUAGCACUCUGGGUGACUGUGGCUGGGAGGUAGCUGUGUUAUUUCGGUAGCUUCUGGCUAUCUGUUUUCCCCUUCUGCACCAAACUGGCAGUGGGCAUGCUUCUCAGCAAAGUGUAAAUACCCAACUGAUCUGAUAUGCGUCACUUCAGCUUUUUCUCUUUUUUUUUUUCUGGCUGGAAUGUGCUUUGCUAUGACUUAAGGAAAAAAAAGGGAGAAGCUAAUCAUGCUCAAGCUGUGCUUUCCUGCCAGUACAUAAUCAUUAAGAAUAUUCCGAGCAUCUCAGGUUCCAGUUUGUGAUGCUCAGGGCUUUCGUGUUCUCCCUGGUAAGUUCAUAAAAGCAAGAAAUUAAGCCGUUUAUGCAGGAUCCUGUUGAAAUGCAUGGCCCUGUCAUCCAAACAAAGCAAUGAGCUGUUCUAGAGAGAAAUUAUGUCUUUGAAGCCAUCUGGCAUUCAUGGGGAUUUGCAGUGAGAUUUUGUAGUAAGGAAGAGAUGCUGAAGAAAAUCCCUGGGCUCCCUCUAUAGUCAAUGGGAAAAGAAAGACUUCUUCCAAGGAUAAUCAAGCUGGACUUUGGGGUAUGUUGUCUCAAAGUCAGCUCUAGAGGGAACCUAAGAGGACUGAGGGAUGUACUUUGAUUUUAGGUGGUAAAAGUAAACGGUGGGAAUUUCUUUCACCUAUGGCCUGAGCUGGGUGUUUUGGAAAAGAAACCCUCAUAAAGCCACAUGUUGGCUUUGAAACUUAAGAGUAAUGCAGUUACCCUAAGAAUUAGUGUUUUGUUUGCAGCCUUCUGUUUUGUAACUUAACAAAAACAUGCAAGAAACCCCCCUUCCCCACCAAAAAUAUUUCACUAAGAGAAUGUGGUUCUGGGCCUGGCUAAACAAAUGAGCACUUGGUGUUUAUCCCUUCUUUCAAGGGUUUUUAAAUAUAAAACACUGCCUGGAGUGGGGACUAUAGGGACUAGUUGCUCCCACCUGAGUGUCCUAACCUAGCUUUUUCCAACCAUGGGAGACCAGAAUAGCUGUAAUGGGACAGGGGAGUGUUGCCUCUUUCCAUGUUUUCUUUUCCUUCUUGCAAUGAUCAGUACACAAGCCUCAGAAAUGUUCCAUUCCCUCCCACAUCCCUGCUGCACGGCUGGACCACUGGACCACCAGAUAGACAUGCUGAUACCUGCUUCUGCCAUGUUUAUGCCGAUAGAUUUUUAUUUUUUUUUUUUUUAAAUUAAGGUGACAACAGAUAAAUGGCAGGUGAAAUGCAGGGGCUGACAUCAGACACGGGCUCAUCCUGCCCACUGCUGUACCAUAACAACGAGGGACUGUGGUACACUUCCAGCUCAUCCUUGGCAGAGAGGGGCACUGCGGUUCUUGUAUGCCAGACUCCAAAGUUUCUCCACAUCUGAAGGUAAGAACUGAAAUGUUUAUGCCUGCCUUGGAGUGCUGCUCAAUUCAAAAAGUUGUGAGUAUUUGUCAAGUGCUUUGAGAUCUUCAGAGAAAAAAUUCAGUAGAAAUGCCGAGGCUAGGUCUUCUCUCUUGUAUUUAUUUGUCAGCUGGAAUGUGCGGUGUGGGGAAUAGCUGCAGAGACUGAAGUAAGAGCCCUCAUUCACUUGAUGAGCUGCACAGCAUCAGUCCUCUCCUGCUAGGCAGCUCUACAUGGCAUGAUAGCUGUACCUGCCCAGAGGCAUUCACCUUGGUAGAAAGUAAAACUUUAAAUAAAACUAGUACGAGGAAUAAGUGAAUUGUUUAUCAUCUCUCUCAAGCGUACUGUUAAAUAUCACUCUUUGCUCACACUUCCUCUUCUUUUUAUUGAGAGCCACUCUUUCAGAGCAGAGUGCUACGUCUCAGUCCAAAUAGUGGUAUGUUGAUAACAGACUUCUCUAUACUAGAAGGAAAAGAAAAAUGGAUUUAAAGCAGUGGAUGUUUGGAUAAGGCUAAUUAAUAAAUCCUAGAAGGGCAAUAACUCACUUGAAGUGAGACAUAUCUACAGCUGGCACCUUGACUGUAAGGGAAAAUGUACCUAUAAAAGCAUUAACGUCAUCCUAAGAGCAGGAGGGGGAGAUCAUAACCACUGCAGGAUGCCAGGUCCAGCGGGAGUGAAAUAUGGCAGCGCUUGGCUGGAUCCUGCAGCUCGGCACUCCGGGGGCUGUGUGUGGGUUUGCAGCUGCCCUUCAAUGCCCUUUUGUAAUUUUCUUUCGGCUUAGGCAGGAUUCCUUUAAGAUAAAUAUUUGCUGCCUUCACCUCUGCGCUACCUUCCAGCUGCUGGUGGGAUACAGGCUGUGGGCAAGAGCCUGGAUGAAAAGCUGUGACCUAGCGAGCCUGGCUCCCACGGUGGGCUGUUGCUGGGGGUUAUAAGAAGCCUCAGGCCAGCCUCAGGGUGUGCCGUGGCUCAACGGACAGCACAGUCAAUGGGGAAGCUGCUGAAAUGUUGGAAUCCAUCAGUACUUGCAGUGCAUGCCAUCAGAGAGUUUCUCCAUGGACAGUUCUUUCUCAACACGCAAGACAGCAGCACAUCAGGUUAUUUGGUGAUGGGGGUGUGGGAUUGAAUAUAUGCAGGGUGUUAGCUCGCAAUAUAAAGCCAAUCCAUACAUUCACCUUGUGCAUUUGAGCAGGGGGAGCUGCCAAGUGGCUGGGCAGCGUGGUGGGGUUCGCUUGCAUGGCUUGGUCAUACCGGGGUGGACGAGAGCUCAUAGCCAGGAGUGUGAGGAAGGCAGUGGUGCCCUAGACAGCAGCUUUCUCCAAACUGCUCUUGCUGUGGCACAGAGCUAGUACCAUGCACCACAAAAACGUCACUGAGGAACAUCACUCCUCCUCCCAGCCACUGCCCAGACCUGUGCCCCUGGGCAGGACAGGGAUCUUGGAAGUGCAGCCAGCUGCUUGGAGCGCAUUUCCUUCAUAGCAGCAGGCAGCAAGAAACUUCUGGACCCAUUGCUAAGUAUAUGGGAUGGCGAGCAGCCGCUGCUGCUGCCAGAGCCCUCUGGCAGAGGAGGGGGGAAAUCAGCUCUGCUGGUGCUGUCCAUCUCGUCCACCUCUUGCAAUUUGUCCCCUCGAAAUUUAGCCCAGCUUAAUUCUUGCUCUGAAGCGUCAAGAUUGAAAAGCAUGGGAAGCAGGAGUGGUCUUAUUUUGGGGGGACCUGUCCACUGCUCUGUGUUGACUUGGCGGCUGGGGAUGACCGUACCGUGGCCGGCAGAGCCCUGGCCAGGCUGUGCCUGCUGGUGCAAGCCAUGGCUGCUACAGGCUGCGCAUGGGAUUUCAGCUCACACGCAGCUUUUCUCAGGGUGGUAUGGGGAAGACUGGCUGCUGCUCUGCUUUGCAUAUGUGUUUGAAAUCUGCAGCUAGUGUAUAGAAAACCAGUUGGCUUUGUUUGUAGCUGAUUGCAAACAUGUUCUCUCCAUGCGUUUUACAGAGUUAGAAAAAAACUGCUUUGAAAUUAAUGUGGUGGGAACCAGGCAACCUCACACUAGGUUACCGAACCCAAGCAAGGACUUAGAGAACAGCUGCUUCUCCUUCCCUUUCAUUUAUUUCUGAGUGUAAACCUUCCCCUGCUACCUGUCCUUGGAGGCCAGGCAAGUGGGAGAAAACUUCAUAACAUGUAGCUGCAAAGCAUGAAGCAAUUUAAGUGUAUGGCUUCAAAAGGAAAGCUUUGUUCUGGGUUGUGACGGGGAAACCCGUGGCCUCGGAGGGGACCUCUCAGGUCCUCGCAGUGCUGUAUCACUGCCCUGACCCUGCAAAACUUCUGCAGGUGUUUGACCAGGUGGGUAGCCAGCCUAUGUGGCAAGGGUCUGUUUUUGUGGCUGAAGACUUGUUUGGCCACUGUACUGGGCAGUGAGUGAAAGAAAGCAGCAGAAGAUCUUGCAGGAGUUAAAAAGCAGCCAGCUGACACGGAGAUGUCUGCUCUGGGGCUAAAGCCAUCCUCUCUUUCAGAAGAGAAAUCCCCCAAACCUGCAUCCCUGCGGUGUGCUGACCGGGUGUCUGGAGCAGCAAUGGGCGCUGGCAUCCCGCCUGCUCCAACCCAUCUCCGGGGGCUGGAUUUUUACCUGGCUGGGGUGGAAGCCAUCGACUGGUUCAAUCAGCUGCCAGGGCUCACCUCCCAUCUUGUGCCACUCCUCUGCCGCUGCAAAUAAUAUGGACUACUAUUCCGGUGCCAGAAACAACAAAGGAGUAAGAUAGGUAAGGUUUAUAUCAAGAUAGAUGAAUUUAGACCAUUAUACUUGACCUUCAAGAAUCCUAGAGCAGUUGAACAAAUACCCACCAACUGAGUAUGUCCAGACUUUGUCUUAAAAAUGCCUGUUGCCUUGGCUAGACUAGACUAGAGCUUGCUCCCAUCCACACCAAGAAAAAGCCAAAACAAACAACCCCUAUCCUAUUUAUUGCACUGCUUUGUAAAGGAAUCGCGAAGUUCUUCAGCCAAAGGCAACGCUGGAGCUUGAAUACCCCUCUAAACCUAGAAUAAAUGCUAGUGUACUCAAAUUUUACCCUAAGAAAGCUGGGAGCUGCUGUGUGUAUAUAUGCCCAGGCCAGCCUGAAAUCAAUGUACUCAUCAGAGUGCGCAACCACUGCUAAAUAUUUGAUGUCUGGAGAGUUUAGAGGAGGAUUUAUGCUUGCUUCAGAAACACCAGAAAAGUAGGUCAGCAGCCUUAGCUGGCUUUUGAGCACACUGAUGAACUGACAGCUUUCUUGAUGGCAAGCUCAAAUUGUUGGCUCCAGGGCUGCAGGAAACUUUGCAAAGUGUCUUUCAGAGCUGGUGUUUGUAUGUGCAUGUGUGAUUUUGUUUACCUCAUUUAUUUAACACGAUGUAAUCAAGAACAGCAAAUUAUAUUAAGCUGUUUCUUUUCGUGAAAGCAAAUAAAUUACCUAAAGUUAGUCAUUUAACUUAUUAAAGUAAUUUGCCUACCCAGCAGGUAGUUUGUUCCAAAUCCUAAUGACUUGUGAAAUAUUAAGAAGCUGAGGCAAAAGCCACAAAGAGAUGUGGACAUCCUGAAACUCUGUGCUAUGAUAUUUGACAGUGGAGCCCACCUCUCUGAGAUACUUUUGGACAGAAAGGCUCCCUCUCCCGUCCUCCCUUCUUUACCUCCUCCUCAGUAUGGUCUGUGUGAGGCCCAGAACCAGCUGCCUGAAUCGGAUCACGUAGGAUAAAAUAAGUUCAUGAAUUUUGAUAGGAUUUGGCUGCGACAUGAGAUUUUUGCAAUAAUCUUAGGUGCCUCAGCAGCUUUGUGCUUCCAAGGACAGCCAGGCACUGAAGAGGAGAGAUGUUAGAGAUGUACACUUUAAAGUACUGCCAGGGUGCUUCUGCCCCUUCGUGGCUUUGCUGUUAGCUAUCUGCGUGCUGGGAUUUAAAUACAGUCCCCAGGCAAAAUUUUAUCAAGGAGGAGCAACACAGAACUACCUCUUUAUGUGACUAUAAAAGUAAGGAAAUACAGAUCAGGGUUUUUUCCCCAGUUGUUAUACACUAUUUUUGGAACAUAAAAAUUCCUGCUAUCUGGGAGGGCCCACAAGUGGCUGAGGGAUGGGGAUGGUCCACCCCAGGGAAGAGCCUGCAGGGAGCGGAUGAGGAUGGGGCCAAUCUCUUCACAGCAGCACCCAGAGGGAGGGGGAGAGACAGUGGGCAUAAGCUGAAACAUGGCAGGUUCAGCCUGGAUACAGGGUAAAAGCUGUUUUCCUACUUUUCCAUCACCUUCUAACUACUUGACUAUGUUGCCCACCUCAGUCAUGAUCACAGCAUGCUGAUCCUUUUUUGGAAAAGAAAGAGCGAGUGUGUUUCUCCUUGCGAUGGAGCUGGGCUGGUGAUGGGUGGUGCCUCAAGCUGGACUCAGGCAGAUCUUGUGAGGGAAGGGGAGCUGAGAGGGAUCCAGGAACCUGUCCCGAGACUCCCAAGGACACUGUCCACUCAUGCUCAUGAGGAAAUAUUUCCAGUUCUUUUUUUUUUUUUUGUGUGUGAGUGUGUGAGUGUGUGAGAGAGAGAGAGAGAGUUGCAGAAGGAAGCGACUUAGGUAAAGUGCUUACCUAAUGUCACUUAAGGUCAGAGAAGGAUGAGUUUUGUAGCCACUUCAAGUCAAAAGUUACAGCCACAUGAAGGUGCUUCCUGGGAAAAGCACUUCUACUUUCAAAACCAGUGAGUUAAGAGAAGACGGCUUAUUCAGGCAGGAAAAGUGGCUGAGAAAAGUUCACCUUCCUGAGGCACUGCUCAUCCCGGAGGAGGCAGUAUGAGGCCUGGGCAGUGAUGUAGUGAACUACAGUUCAUGAAAACUACCUUCCCCAUUGCAGAUAUGCUAUCUCUAGCCUAGACGAUCUGCUUAUAAAAGCAAUGAUCAAAAAUAAACUCAAAUCUUAUGGACCGAGAUAGGUUUGAGAUUUCUUUGUUUCUUCAUCAAUCUGAGAAACUGCAGUGGACCAGCAGGAAGCAUUUUUAGCUGCCAUCCCUGUCACCUCGCCAUCAACACCCACUGCCACCCAAGUGCAAAUAGUCGGGUCGCUGUGCACCAGGGUGGUGGGUGCCGGUGGCUGGGAGCAGCGAGGCAGCUGUGGUCCCAAGACUGGUGGUGGGGUCUUGUCUCGGCAGAGGUCUGCGGUUACCCCAACCAGGGAAGCUGGAGAUGGUCUUAAGGGUCCCCCUUUGGCCCCAGCCCUGACAGCAGGGUCACCUCGGCUGGCUGGCUAUGCCACCCUUCUCCCAGUACAGAGCUAAAACAUAAAGAGAGUGUUAGCUGCCCAGCACGUGACUAAAUGCUGCAUGAAACAGACAAGGAAAAAACAACUUACUUUGUCUCAGUGGGAAAUCCAUGUAGAAAAUAUCAAA